CAAGUCGAACGAGAAAGGGGAGCAAUCCCUGAGUACAGUGGCGCACGGGUGAGUAACACGUGGAUGAUCUAUCUCUUAGUGGGGAAUAACCCUGGGAAACCGGGGAUAAUACCGCAUAAGCUCGAGAGAGGAAAGCAGCAAUGCGCUGAGAGAGGAGUCCGCGGCCGAUUAGCUAGUUGGGAGGGUAAAAGCCUACCAAGGCAGAGAUCGGUAGCCGGCCUGAGAGGGCACACGGCCACACUGGCACUGAAACACGGGCCAGACUCCUACGGGAGGCAGCAGUGGGGAAUCUUGCACAAUGGGGGAAACCCUGAUGCAGCGACGCCGCGUGAGCGAUGAAGCCCUUCGGGGUGUAAAGCUCUUUCGGCAGGGAAGAUGAUGACGGUACCUGCAGAAGCAGCUGCGGCUAACUACGUGCCAGCAGCCGCGGUAAUACGUAGGCAGCGAGCGUUGUUCGGAGUUACUGGGCGUAAAGGGUGUGUAGGCGGUUGUUUAAGUUUGGUGUGAAAUCUCCCGGCUCAACUGGGAGGGUGCGCCGAAUACUGAAUGACUUGGAGUGCGGGAGAGGAGAGUGGAAUUCCUGGUGUAGCGGUGAAAUGCGUAGAUAUCAGGAGGAACACCGGUGGUGUAGACGGCUCUCUGGACCGUAACUGACGCUGAGACUCGAAAGCGUGGGUAGCAAACAGGAUUAGAUACCCUGGUAGUCCACGCCCUAAACGAUGCAUAUUUGGUGUGGGCAGUUCAUUCUGUCCGUGCCGGAGCUAACGCGUUAAAUAUGCCGCCUGGGGAGUACAGUCGCAAGGCUGAAACUCAAAGGAAUUGAC
rnacentral:rRNA from 1 species